rnacentral:SRP_RNA from 1 species
GCCAGGUAUGGUGGCGAGUGCCUGUAGUCCCAGUCACCCAGGAGGCUGAGGUGGGAGGAUCACUUGAGCCUAGGAGUUCUGGGCUGUAGUGUGCUAUGCCAGUCGGGUGUCCGCACUAAGUUCGGCAUCAAUAUGGUGACCUCCCAGGAUCAGGGGACCACCAGGUUGCCUAAGGAGGGGUGAACCGGCCCAGGUCAGAAACAGCAGGUCAAAAUUCCUGUGCUGAUCAGUAGUGGGAUCGCACCUGUGAAUAGCCACUCUACUCCAGCCUGGGCAACAUAGUGAGACCCUGUCUCU